rnacentral:lncRNA from 1 species
GGGCAUUAAACACGUCGCUUGACCAUAACCCACAACUAGUAAACAAGAAAGUAAGAAUCUGCUCAGUUUUGUCAACUCCAGAACUCCUGCUGGACCCCACUAUGCUGAACCACCCCCUAAGUGCAUAAAGGCAGCCUGCACACCUAAGAGAUCGUAAUGAACUUAUCAGUUCCCUGGGAUCUUGUAGAGUGACAAGAAGCCCUGCUGGAACCCUGAGGGCAGGUCAUGACAACAUCACUUCUUUUGAAAAUGUGGAGCAGAGUUCUGCUUAUCAGUUACCAACCAUAUAAGGAUACCAAUACUUUCUGUUCUUUGUUCAGAAUCAAGAAAGGGACACAGGAGCAUCAAAUCUGACAUGCAGCAAGUUCCUCCUGCCUGCAGCCCUGAGAAACUGUGAGAGUUACGUAGUUAAAAGUGAACAUUGAAAAAGACUCAGAAUAAAUACUAACUCAAUCAUGACAGCUGUGCCAGGGGAAAGCACAUGGUAGUUACCAGAAGGACGAGAGCAUCAGAUGAGAAAGCCAGCAAGCCCAGUUCUGUUCAUGGCUGUGACACCAAAUAGAUAACUUUGGACAACCUUAUGUCACUCGCUUAGUUUCUUCAUCUGUCAAAGGCAGCUAAUCAUGUGGCCUAUAGUUAUUAUGAGGAGCAAACAAAAUAAUGGGAAUGAUCAUAGAAAACUAUCAUAAAAAUACAAGUUAGUCUAAUGGUUUAAUGAGAUAAUACACCUUAUUCUAGGCAAAUUCUACUCAACCACAACAUUAUGUUGAUUUGCAACUACAGAUCAGCUGAGCCAUCCAUGUAAAAUUGGAAAAUGCAAAUAUUAAACAUGAGUAUUUAAACAGAAGUGAGAGAAACAGUGAAGCAGCAUUUAUGGAGAGCAGCUUCAUGUGCUGAAUCAGCUUUCAUCCCAAUGACAUGGAAUACCUGUUGUUUUCACGGAUAAAGUAUAUCAAACUCGUGGAAAAGUAUUGAUAUUUUAAAAGAAAUGUUUUCAAUUAACAUUAAAUUCUGCAUGGUGCAACGUUUUUAAAGAGGAGCUAGUACAAGGAGCAAAUAAAUUGAUUUUCAAGUCUAAAAGCUUAAAAAUUUAAAAAGCCAGAUUUGAAACAGUAAAAUAGUAGGCUGUAGAAUACACAUAAGUUUGCACAUUUCCAGUUCUAGAAAGGCCUAACACUUUCACAUGCCUUUCUCAUAUUUUCUAAAGCCUCCUCUGGUCCCUGGUACCAGCCAGGGCUGGUGGUGCCAUCCACACAGUGAUCUCUGAGCCCAAAUCAUGAACCAGAGGGGCUUCAGUCCUCAUUUCUCCUCUUUGGGGUACACGCCGAUCCUUUUCCCAGGAUGUGAAGUCAACAAAAUGCCUGAGGAGCUCUGGGACUCAUGCUAAUGGAGUUGUCCUGUACCCAGAUAUGUUCCCCAUUCCAGAAGGACAGCCGGAUGAGUGGAAAACUCCUGAUACUCAGCACAGCAUGUCUUUUUUCAGGAUCAUGUGAGAUUGGACUGCCAUAAUGGCACCUACAAGCAGCAGAUGUUGGUUGACUCUAUCACUAGACAGAGAGAUAUGAAAUUAGCCAGGAGCGAUGCAUUUGACAGUACAGAACAUGAAGAGAUGGUUCCUGAACCGGAGCAGGAAGAGACAAUGCUUGGAUACUAUUGGGAAAGACCUUCUGCUGUGGGCCCUGAGCAAUCCUGCACAUUGUUGCUCUGUGUGCCAGAUUACAAGGUUUAUCCAUCUCCUGAUACUGAUCCCAGGUUCUGUAACUAGUCAC